UACGUAGGGGGCAAGCGUUGUCCGGAAUUAUUGGGCGUAAAGAGCGUGUAGGCGGUCCGAUCAGUCCGCUGUGAAAGUCCAGGGCUCAACCCUGGAAAGCCGGUGGAUACUGUCGGGCUAGAGUCCGGAAGAGGCGAGUGGAAUUCCUGGUGUAGCGGUGAAAUGCGCAGAUAUCAGGAGGAACACCGAUGGCGAAGGCAGCUCGCUGGGACGUUACUGACGCUGAGACGCGAAAGCGUGGGGAGCAAACAGG
rnacentral:rRNA from 1 species